UACGGAGGGGGCUAGCGUUGUUCGGAAUUACUGGCGUAAAGCGCGCGUAGGCGGACCUGCAAGUCGGGGGUGAAAGCCCGAGGCUCAACCUCGGAACUGCCCUUCGAUACUGCGGGUCUCGAGUCCGGGAGAGGUGAGUGGAAUUCCUGGUGUAGCGGUGAAAUGCGCAGAGUAUGCGGAGGAACACCGAUGGCGAAGGCGGGUCUCUGGGCCGUAACUGACGCUGAGGAGCGAAAGCGUGGGAGCGAACAGG
rnacentral:rRNA from 1 species